CAUGUACUCCUUCCGUCCGAAAAAGCUUGUCCCUUAAAUGGAUGUAUCUAGCACCAAGUAGAUGUAUCUAGUAUCAACUUGGUGCUAGAUACAUCCAUUUAAAGGACAAACUUUUUCGGACGGAGGGAGUACAAU
rfam:Triticum aestivum genome assembly, contig: Triticum_aestivum_CS42_TGACv1_scaffold_435451_5DL